AUUGAACGCUGGCGGCAUGCUUUACACAUGCAAGUCGAACGGCAGCACGGGGGCAACCCUGGUGGCGAGUGGCGAACGGGUGAGUAAUGCAUCGGAACGUGCCCUGUCGUGGGGGAUAACACAUCGAAAGAUGUGCUAAUACCGCAUACGACCUGAGGUUGAAAGCGGGGGACCGUAAGGCCUCGCGCGAUAGGAGCGGCCGAUGUCUGACUAGCUAGUUGGUGGGGUAAAGGCCUACCAAGGCGACGAGCAGUAGCUGGUCUGAGAGGACGACCAGCCACACUGGGACUGAGACACGGCCCAGACUCCUACGGGAGGCAGCAGUGGGGAAUUUUGGACAAUGGGGGCAACCCUGAUCCAGCCAUGCCGCGUGCGGGAAGAAGGCCUUCGGGUUGUAAACCGCUUUUGGCAGGAACGAAACGGUGCGGGCGAAUACCCUGUGCUAAUGACGGUACCUGCAGAAUAAGCACCGGCUAACUACGUGCCAGCCGCCGCGGUAACAC
rnacentral:rRNA from 1 species